AAUUUAAACGGUGUGGUUGGUGACUAUAACAGGGAAUCUGGUGAAAAUCCAGAACUGUCCUCGCAACUGUAAAUACAAACGAACGGAACAUGACCACUGUAUCAAUAGGAUAUGGGAAGGGUUCCUAGUAGAUCAAUGUAUAAGUCAGUAGACCUACCAACACAUCGUAAUGUAU
rnacentral:ncRNA from 2 species